UUGAUUUCAGUGCAAGGUUUUUCCACUGUAAAUUUUAGAGGUUUUUGAGUAGUAAAAUUGUGGAGCAAAUAUAUUUGCUCUCAUAUUGCUUCUUUGAAAGAUGAACUUGAGUGUUGCUCUGUCUUGCAUUGGUGUUUGGACUUGUGAAUGAUGAUAAACUGCAAUAAACUUUGAAAGAUGAACUUGAGUGUUGCUCUAUCUCGUUUUAAUGUUCUUUCAUUACAUGGUAUCACCUCUCUUUUCAUUAGAUCUUUCCAUAUUUGACUUAUUUAGUGAAUUAUUUGUUUACUUUUGUGUGUGUCUGUGUCUGUGUCUGUUAAUGUUGGAUUGAUUGUCUUCUGAUGGUUGCCUUAUCCAAAAUACAGGUUUAGCUAUCUGAGCAGGGAGUACAAAUAUUUCUUUUGGGAAGACAAUCUAAAUCUCAAGGUGCACUAGUGGCUGUGAGGUUUGAUGGUGGCAGGGCUUGGAAUGGCGAGGUGUAGGCUCGAUGAGAGUUUGAACAAGUUCCCUCGAAGGACUAGUACACCAUCUGAGGUUCACAGUCAAGCACAACAAGCUG